rnacentral:rRNA from 1 species
UCAUUAGGGGUUUAAUUGGAACCUGGUAUGAAAGGUUGGACAAAGAAAAAGCUGUCUUUGGAAUAUAUAUUGAAAUUUACUUUUAAGUGAAAAGGCUUAAAUGGAUCAAGGGGACGAUAAGACCCUAUAAAGCUUUAUAAAUAAUUUAAGUUUGGUUAAUUUACGAGAUAAUAAUUAAAUUUAAUUAUUUUAUUUUGUUGGGGUGACAUGAGUAUAAUUAAUAAUAACUGCUUAAAAAAUAUACUGUUAUUUAAGGAUAAUGAAAAUCAUGAUCCUUUUUAAAGAUUAAAAGACUAAGUUACUUUAGGGAUAACAGCGUUAUUUCUUUUGAGAGUUCAUAUCGAAAAAGAAGAUUGCGACCUCGAUGUUGAAUUAAAAUAUCUAUAUGGUGUAGCCGUUAUAAGAGAAGGUCUGUUCGACCUUUAAAGUUUU